CCUGCCCCUAGAGGUGUUGCAGGUGUCGCUGCUAUGUAAUGUGUGUCAGUAGGUGGCAGAGAGGAGAGAGGUUGUCCUGUGAACAGCUGAAAGAUUAGUAGCCUAAGAUU
ensembl:snoRNA LOC120098001 small nucleolar RNA SNORA17